rnacentral:rRNA from 1 species
AAUAGAUACCCCGGUAGUCCACGCCGUAAACGAUGAGUGCUAAGUGUUAGGGGGUUUCCGCCCCUUAGUGCUGCAGCUAACGCAUUAAGCACUCCGCCUGGGGAGUACGGUCGCAAGACUGAAACUCAAAGGAAUUGACGGGGGCCCGCACAAGCGGUGGAGCAUGUGGUUUAAUUCGAAGCAACGCGAAGAACCUUACCAGGUCUUGACAUCCCGCUGACCGCUAUGGAGACAUAGCCUUCCCUUCGGGGACAGCGGUGACAGGUGGUGCAUGGUUGUCGUCAGCUCGUGUCGUGAGAUGUUGGGUUAAGUCCCGCAACGAGCGCAACCCUUGAGAUUAGUUGCCAUCAUUCAGUUGGGCACUCUAAUCUGACUGCCGGUGAUAAACCGGAGGAAGGUGGGGAUGACGUCAAAUCAUCAUGCCCCUUAUGACCUGGGCUACACACGUGCUACAAUGGACGGUACAAACGGUUGCCAACCCGGCGAGGGGGGAGCCAAUCCGAUAAAACCCGUUCUCAGUUCGGAUUGUAGG